UUGCUCGUUUCGGCAGCACAUAUACUAAAAUUGGAAUGAUAGAAGAUUAGCAUAACUCCUGCACGAGCAUGACACACAAAUCUGUGAAGCAUUCCAUAUUUAA
ensembl:snRNA U6 U6 spliceosomal RNA